GAGUUUGAUCCUGGCUCAGGACGAACGCUGGCGGCGUGCUUAACACAUGCAAGUCACGGGGGCCCGCAAGGGCAACCGGCGAACGGGUGCGUAACACGUGAACAACCUGCCCUCGUGUGGGGGAUAGCCGGGCUAACGCCCGGGUAAUACCGCAUACGUUCUCUUUGGGGAGUCCUGAGGAGAGGAAAGCUCCGGCGCACGGGGAGGGGUUCGCGGCCUAUCAGCUAGUUGGCGGGGUAAUGGCCCACCAAGGCGACGACGGGUAGCUGGUCUGAGAGGAUGGCCAGCCACAUUGGGACUGAGAGACGGCCCAGACUCCUACGGGAGGCAGCAGUGGGGAAUCUUGCGCAAUGGUCGAAAGGCUGACGCAGCGACGCCGCGUGUGGGAGGACGCCUUUCGGGUGUAAACCACUGUUGCCCGGGACGAACGGCUCGAUUCGUCGAGCGUGACGGUACCGGGUGAGGAAGCACCGGCUAACUCCGUGCCAGCCGCCGCCGUAAC
rnacentral:rRNA from 2 species